UACCCUUGACAUGGCAGGAAUCCCGAAGAGAUUUGGGAGUGCUCGCAAGAGAACCUGCACACAGGUGCUGCAUGGCUGUCGUCAGCUCGUGUCGUGAGAUGUUGGGUUAAGUCCCGCAACGAGCGCAACCCUUGUCAUUAGUUGCUACGAAAGGGCACUCUAAUGAGACUGCCGGUGACAAACCGGAGGAAGGUGGGGAUGACGUCAAGUCCUCAUGGCCCUUAUGGGUAGGGCUUCACACGUCAUACAAUGGUACAUACAGAGGGCCGCCAACCCGCGAGGGGGAGCUAAUCCCAGAAAGUGUAUCGUAGUCCGGAUUGUAGUCUGCAACUCGACUACAUGAAGUUGGAAUCGCUAGUAAUCGCGGAUCAGCAUGUCGCGGUGAAUACGUUCCCGGGUCUUGUACACACCGCCCGUCACACCAUGGGAGCGGGUUCUGCCAGAAGUAGGUAGCUUAACCGCAAGGAGGGCGCUUACCACGGCAGGGUUCGUGACUGGGGUGAAGUCGUAACAAGGUAACC
rnacentral:rRNA from 1 species